UAUUGCACAAUGGGCGCAAGCCUGAUGCAGCGACGCCGCGUGAGUGAAGAAGUAUCUCGGUAUGUAAAGCUCUAUCAGCAGGGAAGAAAAUGACGGUACCUGACUAAGAAGCCCCGGCUAACUACGUGCCAGCAGCCGCGGUAAUACGUAGGGGGCAAGCGUUAUCCGGAUUUACUGGGUGUAAAGGGAGCGUAGACGGCGACGCAAGUCUGGAGUGAAAGCCCGGGGCCCAACCCCGGGACUGCUUUGGAAACUGUGCUGCUGGAGUGCAGGAGAGGUAAGUGGAAUUCCUAGUGUAGCGGUGAAAUGCGUAGAUAUUAGGAGGAACACCAGUGGCGAAGGCGGCUUACUGGACUGUAACUGACGUUGAGGCUCGAAAGCGUGGGGAGCAAACAGGAUUAGAUACCCUGGUAGUCCACGCC
rnacentral:rRNA from 1 species